AAAACAACUCUCAGCAACGGAUAUCUUGGCUCUUGCAACGAUGAAGAACGCAGCGAAAUGCGAUACGUAGUGUGAAUUGCAGAAUUCCGCGAAUCAUCAAGUCUUUGAACGCAAGUUGCGCCCGAGGCUUGUCCGAGGGCAUUUCCGCUAGAGCGUCACCG
rnacentral:rRNA from 1 species